AUUGAACGCUGGCGGCAGGCUUAACACAUGCAAGUCGAGCGGGGUGAUGGUGCUUGCACUAUCACUUAGCGGCGGACGGGUGAGUAAUGCUUAGGAAUCUGCCUAUUAGUGGGGGACAACAUCUCGAAAGGGCUGCUAAUACCGCAUACGUCCUACGGGAGAAAGCAGGGGAUCACUUGUGACCUUGCGCUAAUAGAUGAGCCUAGGUCGGAUUAGCUAGUUGGUGGGGUAAAGGCCUACCAAGGCGACGAUCUGUAGCGGGUCUGAGAGGAUGAUCCGCCACACUGGGACUGAGACACGGCCCAGACUCCUACGGGAGGCAGCAGUGGGGAAUAUUGGACAAUGGGGGGAACCCUGAUCCAGCCAUGCCGCGUGUGUGAAGAAGGCCUUAUGGUAGUAAAGCACUUUAAGCGAGGAGGAGGCUCUUUUGGUUAAUACCCAAGAUUAGUGGACGUUACUCGCAGAAUAAGCACCGGCUAACUCUGUGCCAGCAGCCGCAGUAA
rnacentral:rRNA from 1 species